UUUAACAAAAGGUUGCUCAGCAUCUAUCAAGGCUAUCAUAAGGUUCUGGUAUGAAGAUGGCUUCAUAGCAUCAUCCCUCCUCCUGAUGGCUGGAUUCCCUCCUCCAUUUUUUUUUUUUUUGGAAUAGUUUAAGUAGAAUUGAUACCAGCUUUUCUGUUAAAAUUUGGUUGUGAAUCCAUCUGGUCCAGGUUAGUUGCAAGGGUCUGCUGCUUCACUCCUGAAGUCAGCUAGACCAUGAACCCACCAGGAGGAACAAACUCUGGACACACCAUCUUUAAGAACUGUAACACUCACUGGGAGGAGCCACAGCUUCAUUCUUGAAGUCAGCAAGACCAAGAACCUACCGGAAGUAACCAAUUCCAGAUACAAUGUCAUACUACAUUUCAACAAACAUUGUGCUACAAUACAAUGCAUUUAAAAUAUUUGGACUUUUUCAAACUUUCAACUUUU
rnacentral:lncRNA from 1 species